UAUAUACGUAUAUAUUAUAUAUAUAUAUAUAUAUAUAUAUAUAUAUGUACGCUUUUGCCAGACUGAUUUGAACCUCGGUAAGGACUCGGUGAUAAGAGUUUGAAGGUCGACUAUUACCGCGACUUCCGCCUGCAACGUCGGAGAUCUCGUCGACCGAUACACUGGUAUUUGCAUGCGCGCAUCGUCGAAAAUGGUUCGUGGAAAAGGUGGUGUUCCUUCAAAAAUGUAAAAUGCUCGAUUUGUUCGAGAUUUCACUCCCUGUUUCUCUACUCUGGGCUCGUGAAAAAAAGAGGAAAAAAGGGAAGAGAAACGACGCGUUUCACUCGUUCGACGCGAAUCAAUUCUGACCAACGUUGCCCUAUAUACCGUAUCUGCCAUUAACUGAUAUUGCAACGCGACGGUGAGCUCGCGUGCAGAUAAAACCGCGACAAUUAGCAUACGUGAGGUCAGUCGAUGGAUUAUUCGACGAGAAAGAGGCGCGAUGGAACGUCACACCUGCAGUGUCUUGGACGCCUCGUUGAGGCGAUAUGCACCAAAUAGAGCCUUCCUUUCGUAUUCCACGAAUAAAAUACCCGGUAAAUCUAUUUAUUUAUCCAUUCGUUGCUGCGAUUUCGUGAAUUAUUAUUUUCGUAACAAAUUAAGUAGCUUAAAGGAAAUACAAGAUUAAUUACAUUUCUUUUUGUUCCAAGAUUUGUGAAAAACAAUUUUUUCGCCAUUUAGAAGAAUACAACGAUACGGAAAAAUUUGCAUCACUUAGCUUAUUUACAAUGAAAUGAAUGUGAAGCUAUGUAUCCGAUAUUCGCGUGCAUUCACUUUACGCUCACGUUAUUAUUAUUUCCUAUAUUAAGACGCACGCGUGGGAUAAUAAAUUGUGAAAAAAAUGCGAAUGUUUUGUGUCAUAUCAUCCAACAUUUCUUAUCUCUAACACUUUUGAUCGGUACAAUUGGAUUCGACGAGUGAUAAAUCAUACAUACUUCGCUCCAAUUAAAUUCUGUGACGUUCAGCAACGUUUCUUUUCAAGGUGGGAUCGCCUUGGCCGAAGAUUAAUGAACCUGUGCCUACUUUUGAAGCGGGGCUUUGUCAAGGCCGGCACGAAAGGUGUUCCAUUCCAUUCAGCGAAUGGAAUGGGCGCGUAAACGGCUCUCUAAAUCGAGAUUAGGGCGUGUUCAAAGGCGAGGCGGCUGCUUUUCAUUACGCCUUUCGUACUUUUGCCGAUCCCUGACAUACAACAGAAUCCAAGUAACGAAUUUCGCGCGCUCCCCAGAUAAAUCUUAUUUUAUUAUUAUCUUAUCUUCCCUCUCUUCUCCCUCUUUCGCGUUUCCAGGCAAUUUUCCAAUCCUCGAGAAGGACAGAGUCCUGGACCGUUGUCCAAAAGGGGGUGGGGAAAAGAUCGGCCAAUUAUUGUUGAAAGAUCGGCCAAUAAAGACGAAACGAAACAGCUCUUUAUGGAAAUAUAAGAAAGAAAAUUUUCUUUUCAGAUCAGAUACCAACAUUAUCUUUCUCUUGUUCCAGAUACCAGAUCUGCGAAACAUCCUCUUCGAUGACCUUGAACUUUACCGAUCUAAGAACAAAAAUCUAUAAGAAAUUGCGUGGUAUUUUGGAAAGGAAGAGUUCGUUACGCGAGAGUCGAGUGAAUUUAUUAUAAAAAGAGAGAAGGAGAGAGAAAUAAUAAUUUGUUAAUUAACGCGCUGCGUUAUGAUGAUUAUAAAAGUUUCAUUUUGAAAUUGGAUUAAAAUUAAAAAAUAUAUAUAUAUAUAUAUAUAUAUA